AAAUACUGGAUGUGUUCGGUCGUUCAUUCAUUUGACUUGAAGUGCGCUGGGUUCUAUGACAUCAAAGGACUGUGAGAGCAAUUUCGAAAGCACAAGGAGCCGUCCACCUGUAGACCCGAAGUUCCAGCAGUUCGGCACCUUUAAAAAAAUCGCUCGUGCUUAUUAAAAACGUGAUCCUGUAGCAUCAGUAACCAUCACACAGAGUAGACUACAAGAAGUACUCCCGGAAACCAAAUUGAACGGAAAGUGGGUGAUGUUAACUGUGACAAGAUGAUUGACAGGACAAGCAAAAGAGUGUCCGUUAUAGACGCAGCUACGACGCAGUAUUAUGUCCAAAAGCUUGCCAAUUAUUCUGCCUCAUAUUCAAAAAUGCUGUUUAAUCUGUGAUCUGACACUGUUAAUAAAUGCAGGCAGUACUCCAGCAUGAUUUGAAGUGUUCAAGGACCAUCUGACUCAUACAGUGUCACAUGAUUUAUGACACUCAUUUAUUGUUUGACUAAUGACAUACAAAUCCAGAAAGUGUAAUAAAAAUAAUACAGAUUUUAUGUGCUGUCUCAGACAUUCGGACCCUUUAAAGUUAGACCUUAAAUUUAUUAAACCCUGAGAAAAGCUGCAUUUUCUAGUCUCUCCACAUCAGGUAGUUGAACACACUGAAAGAAGCUCUGUCCUCUUGAACUGCAGUCACAGAAACAUUUUACUUGAAGAAAAGGAACAGUCCACUGCAGACAGAGUAAAACCAGAAGUGUUUAUGAUGUUAUCCAUUAUUUUGUCUUAAGAAGGGCCAUGUCUUUCUCAGACUCCCUGAUCUUCAGCUCUCUACCUCUGUUUGUCCCUGGUUUGAGAAUUUAACACAGUACACAACUGGUUGUCAAAUGUGUGUAAUAAAUCCUAACUUGGUACAUUUGGUCAUUAGCUUUAACUAGUUUAACAUUUUGCUUCUAUUCCUAUUGUUUGUGGGUUUACUUUGACAGAGAGGUCAUUCAUAAAAUACAGAACUAAUGAAAUAAGAAGCCAUGGCACAGAGGCAAGGCUGGGAUGGACUCUGCACCUUCUAAUUCUUUCAUCUGGAUUGAUUGCACUUUAUGUGAACAGGCCUUUCUGGCCGUUCUCUUGUCAGUGAAGCACAGAGAGUGAAACAAAUUUUCCAUAAUAUGGCUCCAUUCAGACUGGAUCUGCACUGAUAUACAAAUUCUAGCUGAUGCUAAUUGCACUUUAACUCUUCAGUUAUAAUCUAUGGUUGUUAACUAUUUAAUAAAAUCUGUUUUCAGCUGUGUUCUUGUAUACUUGUAUUUUAUGUACUGCACUGCUAAUGUUUUUCACACUACAAACU